rnacentral:rRNA from 1 species
GACGAACGCUGGCGGCGUGCCUAAUACAUGCAAGUAGAACGCACAGUUUAUACCGUAGCUUGCUACACCAUAGACUGUGAGUUGCGAACGGGUGAGUAACGCGUAGGUAACCUGCCUGGUAGCGGGGGAUAACUAUUGGAAACGCUAGCUAAUACCGCAUAAUAUUAAUUAUUGCAUGAUAAUUAAUUGAAAGGUGCAAUUGCACCCCUACCAGCUGGACCUGCGUUGUAUUAGCUAGUAGGUGAGGUAACGGCUCACCUAGGCGACGAUACAUAGACGACCUGAGAGGGUGAUCGGCCACACUGGGACUGAGACACGGCCCAGACUCCUACGGGAGGCAGCAGUAGGGAAUCUUCGGCAAUGGACGAAAGUCUGAACGAGCAACGCCGCGUGGGUGAAGAAGGUUUUCGGAUCGUAAAGCUCUGUUGUAAGGGAAGAACGGGUGUGAGAGUGGAAAGUUCACACUGUGACGGUAUCUUACCAGAAAGCGACGGCUAACUACGUG